UACGGGGGGGGCAAGCGUUGUUCGGAAUUACUGGGCGUAAAGGGCUCGUAGGCGGCCGCCUAAGUCAGACGUGAAAUCCCUCGGCUCAACCGGGGAACUGCGUCUGAUACUGGGUGGCUUGAAUCCGGGAGAGGGAUGCGGAAUUCCAGGUGUAGCGGUGAAAUGCGUAGAUAUCUGGAGGAACACCGGUGGCGAAGGCGGCAUCCUGGACCGGUAUUGACGCUGAGGCGCGAAAGCCAGGGGAGCAAACGGG
rnacentral:rRNA from 1 species